AUUGAACGCUGGCGGCAUGCCUUACACAUGCAAGUCGAACGGCAGCGGGGACUUCGGUCCGCCGGCGAGUGGCGAACGGGUGAGUAAAGUAUCGGAACGUACCUUUCAGUGGGGAUAACGUAGCGAAAGUUACGCUAAUACCGCAUAUUCUGUGAGCAGGAAAGCAGGGGAUCGCAAGACCUUGCGCUGAUUGAGCGGCCGAUAUCAGAUUAGCUAGUUGGUGAGGUAAAGGCUCACCAAGGCGACGAUCUGUAGCGGGUCUGAGAGGAUGAUCCGCCACACUGGAACUGAGACACGGUCCAGACUCCUACGGGAGGCAGCAGUGGGGAAUUUUGGACAAUGGGGGCGAACCCUGAUCCAGCCAUGCCGCGUGAGUG
rnacentral:rRNA from 1 species